AGUUUUUUGGGUUUUUAUAAAAAAUGUUUUCUGCUCGGUGAUUUUAUUAACAGCCGCGGUAUUUUGACCGUGCAAAGGUAGCAUAAUCAUUUGCUUCGUAAUUGGGGGCUUGUAUGAAUGGGAAUACAAGAUGUUUGCUUUAUUUUUUAAAUGGUUUUAAUUUGCUUUUUUAGUGAAGAAGCUAAAAUUUUUUUAAGGGACAAGAAGACCCUUUUGAGUUUUAUUUUUUUUUGUUUUUCUUAGACAAAUAAAAUUUGGUUGGGGCGACCAAGGAAGUUAUUAUCUUCUUUUUAUAUGUUGAUCCAAGAUUUUUGAUUGUUAGACUAAAUUACCAAAGGGAUAACAGCGUUAUUUUUUUUGAGAGUUCUUAUUGAUAAAAGAGAUUGCGACCUCGAUGUUGACUUAUAAUUUCCUUUAGGUGUAGGUGCUUUAAGGGUAGGUCUGUUCGACCUUUAAAAUUUU
rnacentral:rRNA from 1 species